UUCAGGAGGUGCAGCCAUAAUCACUCGUUUCACUAACUGAACAAUACAGUGGUGAAUUCACGCCAUCUGUGGCCGUAUAAUCGAUAUAACCAAGGAGUUGGUGAAAAGGGGAAAAUUAAGGUGUGACCUGAUUCAACUAGUCCCACAGCGAGUAAAAUUGAAGUGAUUCCAAGAAGAAUGCGG